rnacentral:rRNA from 1 species
UACGUAGGGGGCAAGCGUUAUCCGGAUUUAUUGGGCGUAAAGAGCUCGUAGGCGGCUGAUCGCGUCGGUUGUGAAAGCUCAGGGCUCAACCCUGAGACGCCAAUCGAUACGGAUCGGCUAGAGGUAGGUAGGGGAAAGUGGAAUUCCUGGUGUAGCGGUGAAAUGCGCAGAUAUCAGGAGGAACACCUGAGGUGAAGACGGGUUGCUGGGCUGACACUGACGCUGAGGCGCGAAAGCCAGGGGAGCAAACGGG